rnacentral:rRNA from 1 species
GCAUGUCUAAGUACAAGCCUCACUAAGGUGAAACCGCGAAUGGCUCAUUAAAUCACACCUAAUCUACUGGAUACUAGUCAGUUACUUGGAUACCUGAGGUAAUUCUUCAGCUAAUACAUGCACACAAGCCUCGAACUUACGUGAGAGGCGCUUUUAUUAGAUCAAAACCAGUCGGCUUCGGCCGUCCCUUUGAUGACUCUGAAUAACUUUGGGCUGAUCGCAUGGCCUCGAGCCGGCGACAUAUCCUUCGAAGGUGUGCCCUAUCAACUGUCGACUGUGGCAUAGACGCCCACAGUGGUUUUGACGGGUAACGGGGAAUCAGGGUUCGAUUCCGGAGAGGGAGCCUUAAAAACGGCUACCACAUCCAAGGAAGGCAGCAGGCACGCAAAUUACCCAAUGACCGAAGGUCGAGGUAGUGACGAAAAAUAACGAUACAGGACUCAUCCGAGGCCCUGUAAUCGGAAUGAGUUAACUUUAAAACCGUACCACGAGGAUCUAUUGGAGGGCAAGUCUGGUGCCAGCAGCCGCGGUAAUUCCAGCUCCAAUAGCGUAUAUUAAAGUUGUUGCGGUUAAAAAGCUCGUAGUUGGAUCUCGGCGGGUAGAAGGCGGUUCGCUUGCUAGUGUUACUGCCUUAUUACCCGUAGUUUUUUGCUAGAGGUUUCAGGGUGCUCUUAAUCGAGUGUCCUGGGAUGCUAGCAGGUUUACUUUGAAAAAAUUAGAGUGCUCAAAGCAGGCUACUACGCUUGAAUAUUCGUGCAUGGAAUAAUAGAAAUAGGAAGUCGUUUCUAUUUUUGUUGGUUUUCGGAAAUCGACUUAAUGAUUAAUAGGGACAGUCGGGGGGCAUUUGUAUUCAAACGACAGAGGUGAAAUUCUUGGACCGUUUGAAGACAAACUACUGCGAAAGCAUUUGCCAAGAAUGUUUUCAUUAAUCAAGAACGAAAGUUAAGAGGUUCGAAGGCGAUUAGAUACCGCCCUAGUUCUAACCAUAAACGAUGC